AACGAACGCUGGCGGCAUGCCUAACACAUGCAAGUCGAACGAGACCUUCGGGUCUAGUGGCGCACGGGCGCGUAACGCGUGAGAACCUGCCCUUAGGUUCGGAAUAACUCCCCGAAAGGGGUGCUAAUACCGGAUAAUGUCUUCGGACCAAAGAUUUAUCGCCUUUGGAUGGGCCCGCGUUGGAUUAGCUAGUUGGUAGGGUAAAAGCCUACCAAGGCGACGAUCCAUAGCUGGUCUGAGAGGAUGAUCAGCCACACUGGGACUGAGACACGGCCCAGACUCCUACGGGAGGCAGCAGUGGGGAAUAUUGGACAAUGGGCGAAAGCCUGAUCCAGCAAUGCCGCGUGAGUGAUGAAGGCCUUAGGGUUGUAAAGCUCUUUUACCCGGGAUGAUAAUGACAGUACCGGGAGAAUAAGCUCCGGCUAACUCCGUG
rnacentral:rRNA from 1 species